rnacentral:rRNA from 1 species
GCGGCGGACGGGUGAGUAACACGUGGAUAACCUGCCUGUAAGACUGGGAUAACUCCGGGAAACCGGGGCUAAUACCGGAUAGGAUUUCGGUUCGCAUGAACCGAAAUGGAAAGGUGGCUUUUAGCUACCACUUACAGAUGGAUCCGCGGCGCAUUAGCUAGUUGGUGAGGUAACGGCUCACCAAGGCGACGAUGCGUAGCCGACCUGAGAGGGUGAUCGGCCACACUGGGACUGAGACACGGCCCAGACUCCUACGGGAGGCAGCAGUAGGGAAUCUUCCGCAAUGGACGAAAGUCUGACGGAGCAACGCCGCGUGAGCGAUGAAGGUCUUCGGAUCGUAAAGCUCUGUUGUUAGGGAAGAACAAGUACCGUUCGAAUAGGGCGGUACCUUGACGGUACCUAACCAAAAAGCCACGGCUAACUACGUGCCACCAGCCGCGGUAAUAC